UUCGCAAUGCCCGAAAGGGUGACGAAGCGACGCCGCGUGUGGGAAGAAGGCCUUCGGGUUGUAAACCACACACGGGAGUUAAGAAAUGCAAGGAUAUAAAUAGUGUCUUUGCUUGACUAAGGCUCCGGAGGAAGCCACGGCUAACUCUGUGCCAGCAGCCGCGGUAAUACAGAGGCGGCAAGCGUUGUUCGGAAUUAUUGGGCGCACAGAGCACGUAGGCGGCUAUGUAAGUCGGUUGUGGAAGCCUUCCGCUCAACGGGAGAACAGCAUCCGAUACUACAUGGCUUGAGUGCGGGAGGGGAGCACAGAACUUCGGGUGGAGCGGUGAAAUGCGUAGAUAUCAGAACACACGCCGGCGGCGAAAGCGGCUCUCUGGCCCAUAACUGACGCUGAGUGUGCGAAAGCUAGGGGACACAACGGGAUUAGAUACCCCCACAGUCCUAGCCGUAAACGAUGGGCACUAAGUAGAGGGGUUUUA
rnacentral:rRNA from 1 species